rnacentral:piRNA from 1 species
UNGCUACUUUCACAGCAGUUGGGAUGGUGUU